rnacentral:rRNA from 1 species
UGAAAUCUGGCCCUCGGGUCCGAGUUGUAAUUUGUAGAGGAUGCUUUUGGUGAGGUACCUUCCGAGUUCCCUGGAACGGGACGCCAUAGAGGGUGAGAGCCCCGUCUGGUCGGAUACCAAUCCUCUGUAAAGCUCCUUCGACGAGUCGAGUAGUUUGGGAAUGCUGCUCUAAAUGGGAGGUAUAUGUCUUCUAAAGCUAAAUAUUGGCCAGAGACCGAUAGCGCACAAGUAGAGUGAUCGAAAGAUGAAAAGCACUUUGAAAAGAGGGUUAAACAGUACGUGAAAUUGUUGAAAGGGAAGCGCUUGUGACCAGACUUGGGCCCGGUUAAUCAUCCAGCGUUCUCGCUGGUGCACUUGGCCGGCCCAGGCCAGCAUCAGUUCGGUGUGGGGGAUAAAGGCGGCGGGAAUGUGGCUCCUCCGGGAGUGUUAUAGCCCACCGUGUAAUACCCUGUGCUGGACUGAGGUUCGCGCAUCUGCAAGGAU